rnacentral:piRNA from 1 species
UGUAUUUAUUAAAAUUGAACA